UACGGGAGGCAGCAGUGGGGAAUAUUGCACAAUGGGCGCAAGCCUGAUGCAGCCAUGCCGCGUGUAUGAAGAAGGCCUUCGGGUUGUAAAGUACUUUCAGUCGUGAGGAAGGUGUUAAGGUUAAUAACCUUAGCAAUUGACGUUAGCGACAGAAGAAGCACCGGCUAACUCCGUGCCAGCAGCCGCGGUAAUACGGAGGGUGCGAGCGUUAAUCGGAAUUACUGGGCGUAAAGGGCACGCAGGCGGUUAAUUAAGUUGGAUGUGAAAUCCCCGGGCUUAACCUGGGAAUGGCAUUCAAGCUGGUUAGCUAGAGUCUUGUAGAGGGGGUAGAAUUCCAUGUGUAGCGGUGAAAUGCGUAGAGAUGUGGAGGAAUACCGGUGGCGAAGGCGGCCCCUGGACAAAGGACUGACGCUCAUGUGCGAAAGCGUGGGGAGCGAAACAGGGAUUAGAUACC
rnacentral:rRNA from 1 species